UACCCGCAGCCCGAGUGGUGCUCGUUAUUAUUGGGCCUAAAGCGUCCGUAACCGGCUUCGUAAAUGCCUAGGGAAAUUGUGCUGCUCAACAGCACGAAGGCCUGGGUAGACUGCGAGGCUUGAGACCGGGAGAGGCCAGAGGUACUCCAGGGGUAGAGGUGAAAUUCUGUAAUCCUUGGGGGACCACCGGUGGCGAAGGCGUCUGGCUAGAACGGAUCUGACGGCGAGGGACGAAGCCCUGGGGCGCAAACGGG
rnacentral:rRNA from 1 species